CGCCCGGGGCGCGCCCCGGGCGGGGCGGGGGCACGGGGGGAACGCGAAGAACCUUACCAGGUCUUGACAUCCUCUGAAAACCCUAGAGAUAGGGCUUCUCCUUCGGGAGCAGAGUGACAGGUGGUGCAUGGUUGUCGUCAGCUCGUGUCGUGAGAUGUUGGGUUAAGUCCCGCAACGAGCGCAACCCAUGAUCUUAGUUGCCAUCAUUAAGUUGGGCACUCUAAGGUGACUGCCGGUGACAAACCGGAGGAAGGUGGGGAUGACGUCAAAUCAUCAUGCCCCUUAUGACCUGGGCUACACACGUGCUACAAUGCUCGGUACAAAGAGCUGCAAGACCGCGAGGUGGAGCUAAUUAUACCUUCUCAGUUCGGAUUGUAGGCUGCAACUCGCCUUCAUGAAGCUGGAAU
rnacentral:rRNA from 1 species